rnacentral:rRNA from 1 species
GACGAACGCUGGCGGCGUGCCUAAUACAUGCAAGUAGAACGCUGAAGGAGGAGCUUGCUUCUCCGGAUGAGUUGCGAACGGGUGAGUAACGCGUAGGUAACCUGCCUGGUAGCGGGGGAUAACUAUUGGAAACGAUAGCUAAUACCGCAUAACAGUAGAUGUUGCAUGACAUUUGCUUAAAAGGUGCAAUUGCAUCACUACCAGAUGGACCUGCGUUGUAUUAGCUAGUUGGUGAGGUAACGGCUCACCAAGGCGACGAUACAUAGCCGACCUGAGAGGGGGAUCGGCCACACUGGGACUGAGACACGGCCCAGACUCCUACGGGAGGCAGCAGUAGGGAAUCUUCGGCAAUGGACGGAAGUCUGACCGAGCAACGCCGCGUGAGUGAAGAAGGUUUUCGGAUCGUAAAGCUCGGUUGUAAGAGAAGAACGAGUGUGAGAGUGGAAAGUUCACACUGUGACGGUAUCUUACCAGAAAGAGACGGCUAACUACGUG